rnacentral:rRNA from 1 species
UACAGAGGGUGCGAGCGUUAAUCGGAAUUACUGGGCGUAAAGCGCACGUAGGUGGCGACGUAAGUCAGGUGUGAAAUCUCGGAGCUCAACUCCGAAACUGCACUUGAUACUGCCUUGCUCGAGUACUGGAGAGGAGAUUGGAAUUUACGGUGUAGCAGUGAAAUGCGUAGAUAUCGUAAGGAAGACCAGUGGCGAAGGCGAAUCUCUGGACAGUUACUGACACUGAGGCACGAAGGCCAGGGGAGCAAACGGG